rnacentral:rRNA from 1 species
UACGUAGGGUGCAAGCGUUAAUCGGAAUUACUGGGCGUAAAGCGUGCGCAGGCGGUUUUGUAAGUCUGACGUGAAAUCCCCGGGCUCAACCUGGGAAUGGCGAUGGAUACUGGACAGCUAGAGUGUGUCAGAGGAUGGUGGAAUUCCCGGUGUAGCGGUGAAAUGCGUAGAGAUCGGGAGGAACAUCAGUGGCGAAGGCGGCCAUCUGGGACAACACUGACGCUGAAGCACGAAAGCGUGGGGAGCAAACAGG